AAUCAACGCUGGCGGCGUGCCUCAGACAUGCAAGUCGAACGAUUAAAGCUCUCUUCGGAGAGUGUAUAGAGUGGCGCACGGGUGAGUAACACGUAAGUAAUCUACCUUUGAGUGGGGAAUAACAAUCGGAACGAUUGCUAAUACCGCAUAAUGCAGCGGCAUCGCAAGAUGACAGUUGUUAAAGGAGCAAUCCGCUUAAAGAGGAGCUUGCGGCAGAUUAGCUAGUUGGUAAGGUAAUGGCUUACCAAGGCUACGAUCUGUAUCCGGUCUAAGAGGACGGUCGGACACACUGACACUGAAUAACGGGUCAGACUCCUACGGGAGGCAGCAGUCGGGAAUUUUGGGCAAUGGGCGAAAGCCUGACCCAGCAACGCCGCGUGAAGGAUGAAGUAUUUCGGUAUGUAAACUUCGAAAGAAUAGGAAGAAUAAAUGACGGUACUAUUUAUAAGGUCCGGCUAACUACGUGCCAGCAGCCGCCGUAAC
rnacentral:rRNA from 1 species